UGCUUUGCGCAGAGGCGAUAUCGUAACCGAUGAAAUUUAUCCGAGGUGCGAUUAUUGCUAGUUGGAAACGAUUACCUUUUCAUUGGCGCUGAAUUUCUUUCUAGCGAGCAUUUUCUUGAGGUCUCAGAAUAUGAAACAGCACUUUCUUUGUAUUCAAAUGAGU